rnacentral:lncRNA from 1 species
AGGGGAUGCGAUCCCCCCUUCUUUUCCAUCCAAAUCCCCCACAGGAUCUUGUCGAAAUGACGGGAGGGGAGAUCUAGCUGAGGCGGCGCAACCGUGACACUCGAUCCGGGUGCUCGCCGGUGGCGAACGGCGUCGGAAAACACACAUACACAGACGGCCAAAACAGAGGUUUCAAAAUCUCGAAGUUUUCAUCAAAAAAAACAACAAUAAAUCGAUAGAAAUCCUGAUUUAUAAUCAAAAGAAAUUGAAGAAAGGAGUCUUUGAUUCAUUACCUUGCUCUUUGUGGUGUUUUUGGGCCACUAAAUCGCCGGCCAAAACCUUCAAUCCGAGAACAAGGAAAAUCGGGAGAAAGAGAGAUUUUAGGGUGAUUCACGAAGGAGGAGGCGAGGGGCUUGGGUUUUAUAGAGGAAGAAUCUGUUUUUUACUCGGAUUCCCCUCUCCUUUUCACGGUGG